ACUGGAAGCUGAAUGGACUCUAAUGCAGGCAAAUGAAAUGUCUUUUGUCUCUACUUUCAACUUCCUAGAGUAAAACGAAGAGCUCUGUCUGGUUUGGAAUGGCUGGCUUAUCCAUACCAUUCCCUUUUACACAUU